UUGAAUAAGGAACGCUGCGACAGGGUCCCCCUGCUAGGCUUAUUCAAGGUUUACCAUUUAACCGCGUUCAUUAUUA
rnacentral:ncRNA from 2 species